GUCUACGGCCAUACCACCCUGAACGUGCCCGAUCUCAUCUGAUCUCAGAAGCUAGGCAGGGUCGGGCCUGGUUAGUACUUGGAUAGGAAAAUUAGUUGGGCAUCAAGAAAAUUAGGUGGUAUAUGGC
rnacentral:rRNA from 1 species